UGUUUAAAUAAUUUAAUUAAAAUAUAGGUAUGUGGCAUCUAAAAUAUGUAACAAUUACAUUUUAAACAG
rnacentral:tRNA from 1 species